UUUAGAGACAAGCUGGACAAAAGUGGCAGCAACGCCUCAUCGGACUCUGAGUAUAAAGUGAAGGAGGAGGGCGACCGCGAGAUCUCCAGCUCCAGGGACAGUCCCCCGGUGCGCCUGAAAAAGCCACGCAAGGCGCGCACGGCCUUCACCGACCAUCAGCUGGCGCAGCUGGAGCGCAGCUUCGAGCGGCAGAAGUACCUGAGCGUGCAGGACCGCAUGGAGCUCGCCGCCUCGCUCAACCUCACCGACACGCAGGUCAAGACCUGGUACCAGAACCGCAGAGUCUGGUUUCCAACCUGGACCCCGGCGCGGCGCUCUACCUGUACCGCGGCCCCAGCGCGCCGCCGCCUGCUCUCCAGAGACCUCUGGUGCCCCGCAUCCUCAUCCACGGACUCCAGGGCGCCAG
rnacentral:lncRNA from 1 species